AGGGUUUGAUUCUGGCUCAGGAUGAACGCUAGCGACAGGCUUAACACAUGCAAGUCGAGGGGCAGCAUGAGGUAGCAAUACCUUGAUGGCGACCGGCGCACGGGUGAGUAACGCGUAUGCAACCUACCAUAUACCGGGGUAUAGCCCAUGGAAACGUGGAUUAACACCCCAUAGUACUUUUAUCCUGCCUGGGAUGGGAGUUAAAUGUUCAAGGUAUGUGAUGGGCAUGCGUCCUAUUAGUUAGUUGGCGGGGUAACAGCCCACCAAGACGAUGAUAGGUAGGGGUUCUGAGAGGAAGGUCCCCCACAUUGGAACUGAGACACGGUCCAA
rnacentral:rRNA from 1 species